AUAUUGGUGGUUCAGUGGUAGAAUUCUUGCCUUUGAUGCAGGAGACCGGGGUUCAAUUCCUAAUCAAUGCA
rnacentral:tRNA from 1 species